GCAAACUUGGUCAUUUAGAGGAAGUAAAAGUCGUAACAAGGUCUCCGUUGGUGAACCAGCGGAGGGAUCAUUACAGAGUUUAUUAAACUCCCAACCCUUUGUGAACUUACCUUUGUUGCCUCGGCAGGGCCGACGUCCGCUGGAGCGCCUACUCUGUAGGCCUCUCGCGGUCGCUGGACCACCCCCUGCCGGCGGCCCAUGAAACUCUGUUUUAGUGGAUUGUUACUCUGAAUCAAUACAAAAUACGUUAAAAACUUUCAACAACGGAUCUCUUGGUUCUGGCAUCGAUGAAGAACGCAGC
rnacentral:misc_RNA from 1 species